rnacentral:rRNA from 1 species
GACGAACGCUGGCGGCGUGCCUAAUACAUGCAAGUCGAACGAGAGCGACCGGUGCUUGCACUGGUCAAUCUAGUGGCGAACGGGUGAGUAAAACGUGGGUAACCUGCCCAUCAGAGGGGGAUAACAUCCGGAAACGGAUGCUAAAACCGCAUAGGUCUUCGAACCGCAUGGUUUGAAGAGGAAAAGAGGCGCAAGCUUCUGCUGAUGGAUGGACCCGCGGUGCAUUAGCUAGUUGGUGAGGUAACGGCUCACCAAGGCCGUGAUGCAUAGCCGACCUGAGAGGGUGAUCGGCCACAUUGGGACUGAGACACGGCCCAAACUCCUACGGGAGGCAGCAGUAGGGAAUCUUCCGCAAUGGACGCAAGUCUGACGGAGCAACGCCGCGUGAGUGAAGAAGGUUUUCGGAUCGUAAAACUCUGUUGUUAGAGAAGAACAAGUGCUAGAGUAACUGUUAGCGCCUUGACGGUAUCUAACCAGAAAGCCACGGGUAACUACGUG